UCGCCUUAGAGUUGAUCCUGGGCUCAGAACGAAUGGUUUGCGGCGUGGAUUAGGCAUGCAAGUCGAGCGAGGAGAAUCCGAUAGCAAUAUUGGGUCAUUCGAGCGGCGUAAUGGGCAGUAAUGCGUGGGUAACGUACCCUCCGGAUUGGGACAAUCGGGUAACACCAGUAAAUACCAGAUAACGUAGCGAGGUCGCAAGGCCAUGCUACCAAACGUGUGAAUCGGCCGGGGGAGCGGCUCACGUCGUAUUAGCUUGUUGGUGAGGUAACGGCUCACCAAGGCAAUGAUGCGUAGCGGGUGUGAGAGCACGACCCGCGCCACUGGCACUGAGACACUGGCCAGACACCUACGGGUGGCUGCAGUCGAGGAUCUUCGGCAAUGAGCGCAAGCUUGACCGAGCGACGCCGCGUGCGGGAUGAAGGCCUUCGGGUUGUAAACCGCUGUCGAGGGGGAGGAAAUUGAUCGGGGUACUCCCCGGUUAUUGACCUAUCCCUGGAGGAAGCUUGGGCUAAGUUCGUGCCAGCAGCCGCGGUAAGACGAACCAAGCAAACGUUGUUCGGAAUCACUGGGCUUAAAGGGCGCGUAGGCGGUCUGUCAAGUCGCGGGUGAAAUCUUUCGGCUCAACCGGAAAAUUGCCCGCGAUACUGAUGGGCUCGAGGAAGGUAGGGGCAGCGGGAACUUCCAGUGGAGCGGUGAAAUGCGUUGAUAUUGGAAGGAACGCCGGUGGCGAAAGCGCGCUGCUGGACCUUUUCUGACGCUGAGGCGCGAAAGCCAGGGGAGCAAACGGGAUUAGAUACCCCGGUAGUCCUGGCCUUAAACGAUGGGUACUAGGUAGUGGACUUGACAUGGGUUCACUGCCGAAGCAAAAGUGCUAAGUACCCCGCCUGGGGAGUAUGGUCGCAAGGCUGAAACUCAAAGGAAUUGACGGGGGCUCACACAAGCGGUGGAGCAUGUGGCUCAAUUCGAGGCUACGCGAAGAACCUUAUCCUGGUCUUGACAUGUGCGAAAGCGUCGGGGGGUAGCUUCCCGGAAACGGGAAGCGAAGGUAUCCAAUCCUGAACCCGAUACAGGUGCUGCAUGGCUGUCGUCAGCUCGUGUCGUGAGAUGUCGGGUUAAGUCCCAUAACGAGCGAAACCCUUGCUCUUAGUUGCCAACAGGUAAUGCUGGGGACUCUAAGAGGACUGCCGGUGUUAAACCGGAGGAAGGCGGGGAUGACGUCAAGUCCUCAUGGCCUUUAUGUCCAGGGCUGCACACGUGCUACAAUGCGGCGUACAAAGGGAAGCAAACCCGCGAGGGGGAGCCAAUCUCAAAAAACGCCGCUCAGUUCAGAUCGAAGGCUGCAACUCGCCUUCGUGAAGCUGGAAUCGCUAGUAAUCGCGGAUCAGCAACGCCGCGGUGAAUGUGUUCCUGAGCCAUGUACACACCGCCCGUCA
rnacentral:rRNA from 1 species